GCUGGGUGUGGUGGCUCGUGCCUGUAAUCCCAGCUACUCAGGAGGCUGAGGCAGGAGAAUCACUUGAACCCAGGAGGUGGAGGUUGCAGUGAGCCGAGAUCUCGCCACCGCACUCCAGCCUGGGUGACAGAGUGGGACUCUGUCUCAA
rnacentral:SRP_RNA from 1 species